AACAGGAUUAGAUACCCUGGUAGUCCACGCCGUAAACGUUGGGCACUAGGUGUGGGCGGCAUUCCACGUCGUCCGUGCCGCAGCUAACGCAUUAAGUGCCCCGCCUGGGGAGUACGGCCGCGAGGCUAAAACUCAAAGGAAUUGACGGGGGCCCGCACAAGCGGCGGAGCAUGUGGCUUAAUUCGACGCAACGCGAAGAACCUUACCAAGGCUUGACAUACACCGGAAAGCCGUAGAGAUACGGCCCCCCUUGUGGUCGGUGUACAGGCGGUGCAUGGCUGUCGUCAGCUCGUGUUGUGAGAUGUUGGGUUAAGUCCCGCAACGAGCGCAACCCUUGUCCUGUGUUGCCAGCAACUCCUUUUAGGAGGUUGGGGACUCACGGGAGACUGCCGGGGUCAACUCGGAGGAAGGUGGGGACGACGUCAAGUCAUCAUGCCCCUUAUGUCUUGGGCUGCACACGUGCUACAAUGGCCGGUACAAUGAGCUGCGAUGCCGUGAGGUGGAGCGAAUCUCAAAAAGCCGGUCUCAGUUCGGAUUGGGGUCUGCAACUCGACCCCAUGAAGUCGGAGUCGCUAGUAAUCGCAGAUCAGCAUUGCUGCGGUGAAUACGUUCCCGGGCCUUGUACACACCGCCCGUCACGUCACGAAAGUCGGUAACACCCGAAGCCGGUGGCCCAACCCCUUGUGGGAGGGAAUCGUCGAAGGUGGGACUGGCGAUUGGGACGAAGUCGUAACAAGGUAACC
rnacentral:rRNA from 1 species